rnacentral:misc_RNA from 1 species
AAAGUCGUAACAAGGUUUCCGUAGGUGAACCUGCGGAAGGAUCAUUAAAAAGAUUCUAACGGUUCUGGCCCGUAAAAAAGGCUAUGAGCUUAUUCAACCCUUUGUGAACUAAAAAACCUUUUCGCUUCGGUAGCAAGUUGGUUGGGUUCUGACCUAAACUAUACUAUCAGUCUACCGGCAGCAUCCAAACUAAACCUGUUUUUAAAAAUUUGUCUGUAUAUCAAAUUUUCGAAUGAAAAUCAAAACUUUCAACAACGGAUCUCUUGGUUCUC